GGAUGCGAUCAUACCAGCACUAAAGCACCGGAUCCCAUCAGAACUCCGAAGUUAAGCGUGCUUGGGCGAGAGUACUACUAGGAUGGGUGACCUCCCGGGAAGUCCCCGUGUUGCUUUCC
rnacentral:rRNA from 1 species